AAUGAACUCUGACACUGUGGACUAUCAGGACUCCUGUCUGAUUGUGCGUUAUUUGGCCUCCAUGAGGCCGUUCGCCCAGAGCUUUGAUAUUUAUUUAACACAGAUCUUGCGAGUCCUUGGUGAAAAUGCCAUUGCUGUAAGGACUAAAGCCAUGAAAUGUCUAUCAGAAGUGGUGGCUGUUGACCCCAGCAUACUGGCAAGAUCGGACAUGCAGCGUGGUGUCCAUGGUCGUUUGAUGGACAACUCCACCAGUGUUAGAGAGGCAGC